UAAUACGAAUGGGGCAAGCGUUGUUCGGAAUCACUGGGCUUAAAGCGUGCGUAGGCGGACUUGCAAGUCAGGAGUGAAAUCCCAGGGCUUAACCCUGGAAUUGCUUUUGAAACUGCAAGUCUAGAAGAUUGAAGAGGUUAGCAGAAUUCCGAGUGUAGAGGUGAAAUUCGCAGAUAUUCGGAGGAAUACCAAUGGCGUAGGCAGCUAACUGGGCAAUUUUUGACGCUGAGGCACGAAAGCGUGGGGAGCAAACAGG
rnacentral:rRNA from 1 species